GCCCAUGUAGCUCAGUGGUAGAGCACACCCUUGGUAAGGGUGAGGUCACGAGUUCAAAUCCCGUCAUGGGCU
rnacentral:tRNA from 2 species